GUAUUCUGGAUCACAUACGCAACUAUAUUUACUAUAAAGUCUAUUGGAUUGAAUUUUCAGACAUUCAUAUUUUCCAGAAAUAAUCUGGACUUAUCCGUAUUUUCACUACCGUUUACUUUCUCUUCCUCACCUGUCUAUUGCAAAUGGAUGCCACGACAAAUCUGCUCCUGUGGAUAUUGUGACAAAUCACCGUCAAUUUACCAAGCAAUACACGCUCAGUCUGUAAAAACUCCUGUGUCAUUUCUGGUGGAAUUAUAAUCUACAAUCUUCACACACAAGUUGUUAUUCUUUAUAAUUUGCCGAGAUUGCGAUACAGUCCCAUGGUUAUACUAGCUGAGUCAGGCUCAGCAUAGUAAAUUGACGACAACCUGUCUUUACAUAUCCAGACAAGGAACGACAAC
rnacentral:lncRNA from 1 species